rnacentral:rRNA from 1 species
AGGUCGUAGUCAAACCCCACAGCCACGCGAACUCUAAGUCAGCCACGAAUAGGCUAUCCCAACUAACGGCGGGAAAGACUCCACGGAGGGUGUAAGACCCGUGUGGGCGCGUGUCAAAGCUGUGCGGGCUCGGCCUCUUUUCCCUGAGAGUCGCGUUGCUUGAGCAUGCAGCGCUAAGCAGGUCGUAAACUCGAUCUAAGGCUAAAUAUCUCCACAGAACCGAUAGCGAACAAGUACCGUGAGGGAAAGUUGAAAAGCACUCUGGAGAGAGAGUCAAAAGACCGUGAAACCGCUCAGAGUAUAAGCCCAUGGCAGCUUGGAAGGCAUAUCGCGAGCGGGGCAUCGGUCUUCCUUCGCGGGGAGCCGGUGUUACCUUGCCUCUGUUGUGGCUCGUUAUGGUAGGGGGGUCAAGUCCACAUCCCGCCGUCGUGUGGGGAGUUCUCGGGCGUGUCGUUGCUUUGCGGUUGACCUCGGUUGGCCGUAGGGCUCUUCGCGCUUGGUUCUUCUUUAGACACGGACGUUCAGACUCAGAGGCAAGACGCGAUAACCAGCCCACCACGGCACGUUGUGAGGUCACCCACAGGCUCAGCUUUCGAUUGUGGUCCUUGACGCCGAGCAAGCACAAUGCGUGUCGCAGAUGUUCCUAACCGGACAAUAUCCUUGUCAGGACCGUGGAACGACACGCGCUCAACAGUCAGGAUCGGGCGAUGACAGAGUUCUGGUACGAUCCUCUUGCGACGAGCCGCCUUCUGGCCGAUUUCCGAUGCUCAGGUCUCCCGCAUGUGCCGCGGGGAGAUCGCUUUGGGCGGUCUGGACCCUUAAGAGUCCUCUCAGCCGGGCAACGGAAAGAGUGGUGUAAAGUCCAAGCCC